rnacentral:rRNA from 1 species
AGCAGAGGCGGUCCCAACAGUGUCCCCACCAUCCCGGAGGACAUGCUGGCAACUGUUGGCGUGGGUCUCGCUCGUUGCCUGACUUAACAGGAUGCUUCACAGUACGAACUGACGACGGCCAUGCACCUCCUCUCAGCUAGUCAAGCAGAGUCUUCAACCCGGCUAUCAUUCAGCUGUCUUAUCCGGUGAGCUUCCCGGCGUUGAGUCCGAUUAAACCGCAGGCUCCACCUGUUGUGGUGCUCCCCCGCCAAUUCCUUUAAGUUUCAGCCUUGCGACCGUACUUCCCAGGCGGCACGUUUCACGGUUUCCCUUCGGCACCUCGGUGACUCGUGGUCACCGAUACACCUAACGCGCAUCGUUUACAGCUGGGACUACCCGGGUAUCUAAUCCGGUUUGCUCCCCCAGCUUUCGUCCCUCACUGUCGGAGCCGUUCUAGUGAGACGCCUUCGCCACAGGUGGUCCCCCAAGGAUUACAGGAUUUCACUCCUACCCCUGGAGUACCUCUCACCUCUCCCGGUCCCUAGGUUGCCAGUAUCUCCUGAACGCCCAUCGGUUGAGCCGAUGGAUUUCCCAGGAGACUUAACAACCAAGCUACGGACGCUUUAAGCCCAGUAAUAGUGGCCACCACUCGAGCCGCCGGUAUUACCGCGGCGGCUGGCACCGGUCUUGCCCGGCUCUUUCUUCACCAGUUUUUUGCACUGGCGGACAGCCCGAAUUUACGGGCACUCGGGGUUCCCUUAUCACGAUUUCUCGCAUUGUAAAGUUUUCGCGCCUGCUGCGCCCCGUAGGGCCUGGAUUCGUGUCUCAGAAUCCAUCUCCGGGCUCUUGCUCCCACAACCCGUACCGAUGACAGGCUUGUUGGGCUUUUACCCCAACAACUACCUAAUCGGCCGCAGACUCAUCCUGAAGCGACGGAUCUUUCAUCCGGAGAACAUUCCAGUCCUCCCGGACUAUAGAGCAUUACCCCCAGUUUCCCGGGAUUAUUCUCUUCUUCAGGGCAGAUUGUCC